rnacentral:rRNA from 1 species
UACAGAGGUGGCAAGCGUUGUUCGGAAUUACUGGGCGUAAAGGGCGCGUAGGCGGUUCGAUAAGUCCCGUGUGAAAUCCCUCGGCUCAACUGAGGAACUGCACGGGAAACUGACGGGCUUGAGUUCGGGAGAGGGAAGCGGAAUUCCGGGUGUAGCGGUGAAAUGCGUAGAGAUCCGGAAGAACACCGGUGGCGAAGGCGGCCUGCUGGGCAGUUGCUGACGCUGAGGCGCGACAGCGUGGGGAGCAAACAGG